CCGGAAUUGCUAGUAAUGGCAGGUCAGCAUACUGCCGUGAAUACGUUCCCGGGCCUUGUACACACCGCCCGUCACACCAUGAGAGUUGGGAAUACCCGAAGCCUGUGAGCUAACAUUUAUGAGGCAGCAGUCGAAGGUAGAAUCAAUGAUUGGGGUGAAGUCGUAACAAGGUACC
rnacentral:rRNA from 1 species